UGGAACAAUUUAGGCAAGGGAAGUUGGCAAAACGGAUCCGUAACUUCGGGAAAAGGAUUGGCUAUGAGGACUAGGCUCGGGGGUCCCGGCGCCGAACCCAUCGGCUGUCGGCGGAUUGCUCGAGCUGCUCAUGCGGCGAGAGUAGGUCGCCGCGUGCCGGCCAGGGGACGUACCGGGAAUCGCCCCUUCGGGGGCUUCCCCGAGCAUGAAACAGUCGACUCAGAACUGGUACGAACAAGGGGAAUCUGACUGUUUAAUUAAAACAAAGCAUUGCGAUGGUCCUCGCGGAUGCUGACGCAACGUGAUUUCUGCCCAGUGCUCUGAAUGUCAAAGUGAAGAAAUUCAACCAAGCGCGGGUAAACGGCAGGAGUAACUAUGACUCUCUUGAGGUAGCCAAAUGCCUCGUCAUCUAGUUAGUGACGCGCAUGAAUGGAUUAACGAGACUCCCACUGUCCCUGUCUACUAUCAAGCAAAACCACAGCCAAGGGAACGGGCUUGG
rnacentral:rRNA from 9 species